UCAGCUCGUGCCGUGAGGUGUUGGGUUAAGUCCCGCAACGAGCGCAACCCUCAUUGUUAGUUACUACCAUUCAGUUGAGGACUCUAAUGAGACUGCCAACGACAAGUUGGAGGAAGGUGGGGAUGACGUCAAAUCAUCAUGCCCUUUAUGACCUGGGCUACAAACGUACUACAAUGGCCAAUACAAAGAGAUGCGAAGCGGUGACGUGGAGCGAACCCUCAGAAAGUUGGUCUCAGUUCAGAUUGAAGUCUGCAACUCGACUUCAUGAAGGCGGAAUCGCUAGUAAUCGCGGGUCAGCAGACCGCGGUGAAUACGUUCCCGGGUUUU
rnacentral:rRNA from 1 species